AACGAACGCUGGCGGCAUGCCUAACACAUGCAAGUCGAACGAGCCUUUCGGGUCUAGUGGCGCACGGGUGCGUAACGCGUGGGAACCUGCCCUUAGGUUCGGAAUAACUCCCCGAAAGGGGUGCUAAUACCGGAUAAUGUCUUCGGACCAAAGAUUUAUCGCCUUUGGAUGGGCCCGCGUUGGAUUAGCUAGUUGGUAGGGUAAAUGCCUACCAAGGCGACGAUCCAUAGCUGGUCUGAGAGGAUGAUCAGCCACACUGGGACUGAGACACGGCCCAAACUCCUACGGGAGGCAGCAGUGGGGAAUAUUGCGCAAUGGGCGAAAGCCUGAUCCAGCAAUGCCGCGUGAAUGAUGAAGGCCUUAGGAUUGUAAAGCUCUUUUACCCGGGAUGAUAAUGACAGUACCGGGAGAAUAAGCCCCGGCUAACUCCGUG
rnacentral:rRNA from 1 species